rnacentral:rRNA from 1 species
UGGGGAAUAUUGCACAAUGGGCGCAAGCCUGAUGCAGCAACGCCGCGUGAGGGAUGACGGCCUUCGGGUUGUAAACCUCUUUUAGCAGGGAAGAAGCGAAAGUGACGGUACCUGCAGAAAAAAGCACCGGCUAACUACGUGCCAGCAGCCGCGGUAAUACGUAGGGUGCAAGCGUUGUCCGGAAUUAUUGGGCGUAAAGAGCUCGUAGGCGGUCUGUCGCGUCUGCUGUGAAAUCCCGAGGCUCAACCUCGGGCCUGCAGUGGGUACGGGCAGACUAGAGUGCGGUAGGGGAGAAUGGAACUCCUGGUGUAGCGGUGGAAUGCGCAGAUAUCAGGAAGAACACCGAUGGCGAAGGCAGUUCUCUGGGCCGUAACUGACGCUGAGGAGCGAAAGCGUGGGGAGCGAACAGGAUUAGAUACCCUGGUAGUCCACGCCGUAAACGUUGGGCGCUAGAUGUGGGGACCAUUCCACGGUUUCCGUGUCGCAGCUAACGCAUUAAGCGCCCCGCCUGGGGAGUACGGCCGCAAGGCUAAAACUCAAAGGAAUUGACGGGGUCAUAGCUGUUUCCU